GAUGAACGCUGGCGGCGUGCCUAAUACAUGCAAGUCGAGCGAACAGAUAAGGAGCUUGCUCCUUUGACGUUAGCGGCGGACGGGUGAGUAACACGUGGAUAACCUACCUAUAAGACUGGGAUAACUUCGGGAAACCGGAGCUAAUACCGGAUAACAUAUUGAACCACAUGGUUCAAUAGUGAAAGGCGGCUUUGCUGUCACUUAUAGAUGGAUCCGCGCCGUAUUAGCUAGUUGGUAAGGUAACGGCUUACCAAGGCAACGAUACGUAGCCGACCUGAGAGGGUGAUCGGCCACACUGGAACUGAGACACGGUCCAGACUCCUACGGGAGGCAGCAGUAGGGAAUCUUCCGCAAUGGGCGAAAGCCUGACGGAGCAACGCCGCGUGAGUGAUGAAGGUCUUCGGAUCGUAAAACUCUGUUAUCAGGGAAGAACAAAUGUGUAAGUAACUGUGCACAUCUUGACGGUACCUGAUCAGAAAGCCACGGCUAACUACGUG
rnacentral:rRNA from 1 species